UACAGAGGUCCCGAGCGUUGUUCGGAUUCACUGGGCGUAAAGGGUGCGCAGGUGGGUUGGCAAGUUUGAUGUGAAAGCCCCGGGCUUAACCCGGGAAUGGCAUUGAAUACUGCUGAUCUGGAGGAUCGGAGGGGGGACUGGAAUUCUUGGUGUAGCAGUGAAAUGCGUAGAUAUCAAGAGGAGCACCAGUGGCGAAGGCGAGUCCCUGGACGAUACCUGACACUGAGGCACGAAAGCUAGGGGAGCAAACAGG
rnacentral:rRNA from 1 species